GACGGAGGGGGCUAGCGUUGUUCGGAAUUACUGGGCGUAAAGCGUGCGUAGGCGGCCUUUCAAGUUGGGUGUGAAAGCCCGGGGCUUAACCCCGGAAAUGCGCCCAAGACUGUUUGGCUAGAGACCCGGAGAGGUGAGUGGAACUCCCAGUGUAGAGGUGAAAUUCGUAGAUAUUGGGAAGAACACCAGUGGCGAAGGCGGCUCACUGGACGGGUACUGACGCUGAGGCACGAAAGCGUGGGGAGCAAACAGG
rnacentral:rRNA from 1 species